rnacentral:rRNA from 1 species
AACGUAGGACGCAAGCGUUAUCCGGAGUUACUGGGCGUAAAGCGUCCGCAGGUGGCUGUUCAAGUCUGCUGUCAAAGACCGGGGCUUAACUUCGGAAAGGCAGUGGAAACUGAACAGCUAGAGUAUGGUAGGGGCAGAGGGAAUUCCUGGUGUAGCGGUGAAAUGCGUAGAGAUCAGGAAGAACAUCAGUGGCGAAGGCGCUCUGCUGGACCAUAACUGACACUCAGGGACGAAAGCUAGGGGAGCAAAUGGG